GGCCGCGUGGCCUAAUGGUUAGGGCGUCGGAUUUCGGUUACCCAUUUUAAAGAUAUACGAUGGGCUUCUACCUCCGAAGGCUGUGCGUUCGAAUCGCAUCGUGGUCG
rfam:Trichophyton rubrum CBS 118892 genomic scaffold supercont2.7, whole genome shotgun sequence.